UACGGAGGGUGCGAGCGUUGUCCGGAAUCAUUGGGCGUAAAGGGCGCGUAGGCGGCCAUGCGUGUCUUCCGUGAAAUCCCGCGGCUUAACUGAGGACGUGCGGAAGAAACUGCAAGGCUUGAGUCCGGGAGAGGGGGGUGGAAUUCCCAGUGUAGCGGUGAAAUGCGUAGAUAUUGGGAGGAACACCGGUGGCGAAGGCGGCCCCCUGGACCGGUACUGACGCUGAGGCGCGAAAGCGUGGGUAGCAAACGGG
rnacentral:rRNA from 1 species